CUUUUCUUGUUUUUAUUUGAAAUAUGACCUGCCCACUGAUUAAUUAUUUAAUGGCCGCAGUAUAUUGACUGUGCAAAGGUAGCAUAAUCAUUAGUCUUUUAAUUAAGGGCUAGAAUGAAUGGUUUGACGAAAUAUAGACUGUCUUAUUUAUAAUAAAUUAUAUCAGAAUUUAAUUAUUAUGUUAUAAGGCGUAAAUUUUUUUAUGGGACGAUAAGACCCUAUAGAAUUUAAUAAUAUAUAAUUUUUUAUAGUUAAUUAUUAUUUUUAUUUUUAUAUAUUAUUUUAUUGGGGUGAUUAUUAGAAAUUUUAAACUCUUUUUUAUGUUGAUUAUUGAUUUAUAUUAUUUUUGAUCCAUUAUUUUUGAUUAUAAGAUUAAAUUACCUUAGGGAUAACAGCGUAAUUUUAUUUGAGAGUUCAUAUUGACAAUAAAGAUUGCGACCUCGAUGUUGGAUUAAAGUAAAUGAUUUUGGUGUAGGAGCUUAUAAUUUUUAGUCUGUUCGACUAUUUAACUUUACA
rnacentral:rRNA from 1 species